CAGGCUUCUAUGGCACUAGUAGGCCUUCUCCAGGUUCAGAUAAGUGGGGGAUGGUGCCCAAGGCUGGUACUCUGGUCAAGCCUCACCUGGGAACUGUUCUAAGCACUUUGACCUUGGGUUAUGGUCCUACUACAAUUCCCUUGAAGAGCUCACAGUGACAGGUAGAGAAGAGUCUGCGCCUCGAUCAGAUAACCAUUUCCUCUUCUAAGUGUUAAUAUGUGGUCUCAAAGAGGCUUUAACUAGGACUGGCCUCUGUCCAAACCCAUGAGAAGAAUCAAAUUCUAACAUGGACUUGGGGGAAAGCUACCAGUGGUUGCAGCAAGUAUGAAUAGUAAAAAUUUACACUUGCCUUCACACAAGGAAGCAAGAAUACUAAAUUCCAAUCUAUGUUAUAUCAUUGUACCAGCUAUGUGACUUUGGACACUUAGUCUUCAUGUAACAUCACUGUAAGAAAAUGUUUCUAUGGAUGACAAAGAUUGAAUGAGUCACUCCACAUAGAAGAUGAGUGGACUCCUUAAUUGCUGCUCACAGGCCAGAAAUAAACAUCAUCCCAACACAGUUUUUGACUUGCAAUAGACCCUCCACAUCUCUAGGUCUCCAGUGUUCAUCCGUGUAAUGAGAUCUUGAGCUAUGUGAUUUCUCGGGACUCUUCUGGGCUUGAUAUUCCAGGAUUCUAGCAAACUUAUUACAGCUGAAGUCAUGAAGGAAAUAAUGUGCAGUGUACACUAUGUGUGCAAACAGCAACAAAGUAGGCAUUGGGCAACGGAAGCCAAUGUGCCUGAAAUUCCUAGAGCCCCAGGGUUUAGCAGGGUAAAUACUGUCAUGCUUGUGUUUACCCUGAGCUGCAAACAGAUCAGAACAAAGUGUAAGGUACAAGAAUUCUCAACACAAUUAUGUGUUUCCCAAUAUGGGUUGGUAAUCUGUGGUGUUAUUUUACUUUCUAACAAAGAAUUCAUCUUGCUUGUCCUCUGGGAACACGGUAUCUUCCUAGGGAAAAAGUCUGCUCUCAGAGAGAAGAGUACUGGUGUUGUAAUGGAGCGGACAAUAUUUAAGCACCUGACCUAUGUUGGACAUUUUGUCUCAGCAAUGAGAAAAGUAACUGAGACAGAGCCACUCACUAUACCAUCUUGGAAAACCCUGAUUCCCACCUCCGCAUGUCACUGGGUCUGGUCAGCGCUCCCAGGGUACCGUUAGAAAAGCCUUUGAAGACGGAGCUGUUUCAUUCUCCAAGAGGGUGGAGCUUCCUGCUCUGAGUACUUGGAACUUGACCUGUUCCAAAGCUCUGCCAUACAGGCCUUCAGUACUGCAGAUCUGAGACAUAAAGACUACAUAUCACAGAAGGGCAGCUGUCUGUUUAUUAUUCUAACAUCACUUUUGUAAGGAUUAUAAACAUGCAUAAUUGGAACAGAAUUAUCACAAGUAAAUGUUAUUGCUAUGGACUGAAAACACAACACAAACAAAAGCAAUUCCAUUUGUGGGCGGAAAUGAUAAUAUAAGGCUAUAUAAUUUUUGUGUGCUGCAGUAAUUGUAGAAUGCAAAGAUAACAAAUACAACAUUACAGGUGGGCAUGAGAAUUGGGCAGAACAAAAAGUGAGUCAUAACUGUGAAGCCUCGCUUCCCACUUUGCCUACACAGAGACUGAAAGCAAGUGUCAGAAGUCAGUGCAUCUCACAUUGCAAAGUGCCUGUGACUCCCCCGGGAUCUUGCUAAAAUGCAGAUUCGGGCUCAGGGGGUCUAAGGCCAGCCUAAGAUUACACACUUCACAUGCUCUCUGGUGACACCACUGGUGCUGGCCCCUGGGCUACAGGUGGAGAAGCAAAGGACAGAGCAAGGCUCAAGCCAAAUCCUCAUUGGGCCAGGCCAGGGAGGCAGCCCAGUGCCUGAUGGGAAAGGCUCAGUUGUGUCCAGUCCCUGGGGCCAAGGAAAUCAAGGCCACAAUAAAGAUGACAGCAGGAGCUCAGAGCUGAGAUGCCAGGGCCCCAUGGCUAGCACCUCCCUCCCCUUAGGGAGCUCUGGAGCACAGGGGCCUGAGUCUGGGGUGGAGCUGGAAGUAACAGCUCCACCCUUGAUGGGAGGCCUUGGCAGAGACUCCAGCCAAGGUGCCCCCACCCGGGCAGCAGCGGAGCCAGCCAAGGCCCCGUGCAACUGGCCGAUCCCCGGGGGCUCUUAGAUUUCUCCUGAGGGCCAGGCCCCUUCUGCUUGGCCCACAGCAGCUGCUAAGCUUCUGGGAGUCCUGGGGUCAGGCAGGGAAGUCCUGGGAUCAGAGAGGGGCGAGGGGAGAGGGGAGGGGAGGAAAGGGGAGGGGAAGGGAGACAGGGCCUGCACCCUUGUGAAGGAGAGAGGGAGCAGAGGAGGAAAAUGGCCAUUAGUGCCACCUCGCAGCGCAGUGAGGUCUGUGUCCUCACCAAGGUCUCUGCAGAGCCUGGGAGGGGCUGGGCCCCUGCUCACUACACUCAGCCUCCUGUGCCUUCUUCCUUGGCCUCUGUCUCCCCUCAGAUGUCACCCUCAAACUGCCAGCUGCACGCUCGCUCUGUGGAACACCCUCUCUUCCUCCCCACUCUCCCUUGCUGGUGGCACUUACUACCCGCAAUUAUAUUUUUAAUAAUUUUUUCUUGUGAUUAUCAUUCUUGCACUUUAUCUCCCUUGCUCAUGUGUGUGUGUGUGCGCACACACAGACACACACACACACUCACUCAAAAAAACAAGCUUUUCAAGGCAGAGACUUAAUAUGCCAUAUUCUCCAUGGUAGUUCCUGCUAGAAUAGUUCCUGGUGCACGGUAAACUCAAAUGUAUUUGACAAAUGCACGAGUCCUCACAUGCACUAUGAGGUAGGUACCACUUCCAUUUUCAUGUGAAGAAACAGACACCUGGAGAGGUGAGGCAAUAGUACUAAUUCACUUUUCUCCUAGGCUUUUCACUGCUCAUUUAUAGGACCCUUCUGUUUUAUAUUGUUCUAAUUGCCACCACUGGAGAUGCCUGCCCAACUGAAAAUACACAAACUGCUGUUUCUUCCUCCUUUCCAAAAGAACCCUAGAUUUGUACAUGAGACCAUUCCUUCCACAUUAGGAAUCCUGUGCCUUGGGUGAAAACCCACCUUUUUAAUACCUAGGACACAUUUGCUUGGUCUGACAUAAUCUAUCCCCUUUCCCUCCAUAAUCAGUCCAGAAAUGGGAAUGACAAGUAAAAAACUGUCUAAGGGAUUCUGAGAAAAUUCUCACUUGUUCUUUUGACAAAGCUUCCACCAGUGAUCUGCCCCUUCCUUCUGAAUGAAGAAAAGCAGGUGUUGAGAUAGCAAACCAGCCCAUCUGGUAGUGUAAGGUCUCCUAUAACCCAGGAAGAGGCACCUACAGGAUGAAGUGUGUGGACAACAGAGUAGAAAAAUCUUGAGUGCCUGAUGACAUCAGUAAGUCACUGGAUCAGCCAACAGUAAAGGCCACUUCUACCUCAGGACUUCACAUUUUGUGAUUUAAUUACUUUCCUUAUUGUACGUGCUAGCUCUGGUUCAUUUUUGUUUUAUUUGCAUAGCACAAAUUGAUCCGUGCUCCUUGCUGAAGGAAGAUGGUGAAGAGAGGUCAGAAUCUGAAAUACAAUCCAUCAGACUCUGACUCACUGAUGUCUUCCUACGCCUGGCUCCUCCCACUGCCUUCCUGUCAUCCUAAAUUAUAGGGUGACAAAAACUAUCUCCUCUCGACUUCUUUUUUUUUUUUUUUUUGGUACCGGGGAUCAAACUCAGGUCCUUGUGCUUGUGCAGCAGGCGGUGAAACCACAGAGCUGAAUCCCCCCGGCCCCCUCUGGACUUCUUAAAGAAUGCUGUAGUUAUUGAAAGUGAAUCUAAACAGAGAAAACAAUCUCUCCAGCUUUACACAUCCAUCAACUCCUGCUGCUUUAGAGGACUUCACUUUCAAGAUGUUUGACUAAUAUUUCAUGUAUACCAUUCUUCCCUCCCAAAAUCCCACUGAAUAACUGUGAGAGGAAUGUUGAGAAAAAUAAUCCCAUAGCAACAUUAGAAAUCCUUGGAGUUCCAUCGUAGUAUAGAGCAUGUAGCAAAUUUGCAAGGUAGAAUUCAAUUGUGAUAAAAUAAAUGGUGGACCCUAACAGAAUUGAGCUAACUAAAGCUCCAUAUAGGGGAAUAAAAGACCUCCAAACUCAGAAAGACCUACAGAUUAGAGGUAGCUAUAGCUGAGAAUGGAAAAGGAUCAUAGAGAGUCAUAGAGUAAUUACAGUGUUGGGGAGCAGCUUUAUUGAUAGUCUGUUUUCAAAGCAACUGAUUGUGUCAUUUUUUCUGUUACAGCUGUGAGCUUGCUAUGAGAAAUUACCAGAAGAGACAUCACCACUAUAAUGAGUCAGUGCAGGGAAUGGGGAAUUUUCUUUAUGCUGUGGCACUGCACACAACUAUUAAUAUAGAUUGGUCAGGAUCAGUGAUUCUAAUCAUUGGCUGCACAUUUCAAUCACUUGGAUAUAUUUAACAUACCGACACUAACUAAUGGCCACCUUUGGGAGGGUAUUAACUGGAAAACGGCAAGGGAGGCUUCUCUAGGGGGCACAGAAAUGGUCUGUGACAGGCGGCACUGAAGCACAGCUCAUGAGCUAAAUUGGACACACUGCCUGUUGUAAACUUUACUGGAACACAGACUGUCUUGCACAGCCCAUGGAUGCUUUAGCUCUCCAACAUAGUUGAAUAAUUUUGCCUGGGACUGCCUGGACUGCAAACCCAAAAUGAGUUGGUCCUUCACAGAAAAAACGUUUCUGAACUUUGGCCUAUUUUCUUUAUGUAGGUCACUGUGCAUUGUCUGAGUAUGUAUUUAUUUAUAUAUGAGGUGGGGUAUCACUGUAUGGUCCAGGCUGGCCUUGAGCUUGCUAUCCGCUCAUGCUCAGCCCACUGAGUAGCUGGGAUCACAGGUGUGUGCUACCUCACCCUAUUGCCUUUGCAAUUUUUAUACUGUACUAUGUGUAAAAUAUACCUCAAAAGACUAAAAAGAAAGAAACUCUACUGCUUGGGUGCCGCCUCCAGAUAUUCUUACUUAGUUGAUCUGUGAUAAAUUCUGUAUAUCAAGAUUUUUUAAAUCACUCAAGUUAAUUCUAAUGAAUAAAUGAGGUUGUGAACUACACAGUUAGACCCUCAUUUAUAUCCAUGAACAUACAAAUAAGGGUCACCACAUAUUAAGGAAAAUAAAAUGCAUGAAAUCAAGAUACCAAGUGUACAGUAAGAAGAACAAAACCCCUGAGGAAACAGUCAAUACAGAAAACAGAAAGAACAUAAACAUAGGUGUCAUUAUUAGUCUCUAAAAGCAUAAGAAGGUAUCGUCCACUAAACAAGAGCAAUUAGCUCUUAAGAAGAAUCAAGACAGAUCAGAUCAGUUAUUUUGAGCUAACAAUAAUUAUUAUAGAAAAUCUCAGGAGUAUUGUUAAACAGCAGAAAGAUAAUAUAUGUAGCACAAAUUAGUGACCUGGGCGCAUUUUCUCCAGAUUAGAUACCCAAAAGCAGUUAGGAAAAUUAUGACAGAAAAGUUUGGAGACUUGGAGGACAGACCUAAAUGAGCAAAUGCCUAUCUAAUGGAAGUUCAGAAGGAGUCAACAGAGAGAAUAGAGGGAAUAACCAAAUAAAUAGUAAACUAAAAUUGCCCUGAAUUAGAGAAAGACUUGAAUUUAAAAAAAGGAAGUACUCAUGUAAAUUGCAGGAUGAAAAUGAGAAAGGCUUAGCUAAUAAACGUAGACUAUAUUAAACUGGUAGAUCCAAGAGAGAGCUAGGAAGAAAUGUGUAUAUUACUAAGUAGACUACAAUAUGUCCUUAUUACUGUGACCAAGACAAGCUGAGUAUGGAAGUGUGCGCCUAUAUAAUCCCAGCACUCUGGGAGGCUGAAGCAGGAGGGUCACAAGUUGGAGCUCAGCCUGGGAUUUUGUGACUUAGGGAGACUCUGUCUCAAAAUAAGAAAAUAAAAAUGGACUGAGGAUGUAGCUUAGCAUGAAGGCCUUGGGUCAAAUCCCCACUACCCUCUUGCCAAAGUGGCAUUCAGCUAGAAUGUCCAAAUGGAACUCAGCUAUACAGGAAAUGCAAAUGAAAACUCAAAAUUGAGUAGUAUUUGGUUGGAGAUCUUAAAACGAGAGUAGUGGUCAUUGUUAACCCAAUCUCUGACCCAUUCGCGGAUGAACCUUUGACCUGGACUGUAGACGUUCUCAUCCCAGAUGGGAAUUGACCCUUGGACUGAACCAUGGCCAGUUUCUGAGAACAUUGUCACCACCUGCUGACCUUCCAUAUACUGGAUCCCUUUCCCAGACUGCCCCAAAACUGAAACUGCACCUAAUCACUUUCUUAUAAGACAGCUUAACUUUUGUCCAAACCGAUCAUAAUUCUCGACUAACAAGUGAUGUAAUUGUGGUGUAAAACUAUAAAUAUGACUGCCAUUUUGUAAAACCUCCAGGCACAUUUGCAAGAUUGCUUGCAUCUGUGUCUCCCAGAAUGCAUUCCUAGUUAGCCCCUAAUGAAAGCAAUUUUCGCUUGUCUCCAUGAGGUUGAUUUUAUUCUCAGCUGACAAAUAUCAGCCUAGGUGUCCUAAUUUUAGAUACGUUGUUUAUGCAGUUUAUAUUGUAACCAGAGAAGCCACGUAUAUGUAAAAUAACCAGUAAUUAGGGUAAGAAAAUAAAGUGAUCUAACUCUCCCUCAGAGAAAGGCCAACCCAAGAGGUUUGGAAGGGAUUGUGUAAUGAAGUGAGGAUAAGAUCACAGGGGUUAUUUCCCAGUUAAAAAAAAGGGAUUUACUGGGACUAUGAGGACUUGUAGACAUAAUUUGUUUCAGCACACUUAGGGCAUGCUCAGAAAAUCUUACUGUAUCUUGGGAUCUGGGUUAAAGAGGCAAGCCAUAGAAGAUAAUUUACAACCACAUAGAUAAUUAGAGAACUCUGAAGAGAUUUAUCAUCAGAGAUGUAUGUUAUCCUUCAAGGCCAUGACGAUAAUCCUGGAUUGUAAAGAUGAGAUAGUCUUAUCUUUCCCCAUGGAGAAAUUUAUGUACAUUCCAAAAUGAUAGUAGGAACACCAGAUCCUUCCCAAGUAUGGAGGAUUAUCCUCCUUCCUUUCAGCAGACAGACCCCUCCUAUAUACACUUCAGUGUUCCUUGCUUGCAAUACAAAUUCUGGCAUGUAAGGUGGCAUUGAGGUUGCCUCUGGUCAAGCUAAAUGUAAGAAAGUGGGGCACAGAACAUCCACAGAGUUGUUACUUGCUUGAAAGUAAAUAAUAAUCUCUGGUCCAGACAUUUAGUGUGUGCAGUUAUUAUGAUAUUAAUAAAUAGGGCUAAAAUAAACGUAACAGGCUGCAAACUCAAGCUUCUUCUCAUCUCAUGAAUAUGUUUAUAAUAUGUAUAUAGAUAUUCCUUGUUUAAUGUCCUACCUGUUUAAUAACUGUUCAGGCCUAAGACCUGGUGCUUGGACUUACAACUCAUCUUUUUUGGGCGGUCAGUUCUGAACAUUUUUUUGUAAUGAGACUCAAUAUCUUUUUGUGCAGUGCACUUUGUUUAUACAGUACUGUAAUAUUUGCUGAUUGUACUGUAUAGUAUGUACUAUAGUUUUAUAUUCCAUUAUAAAUUACAGUACUGCAUGUAAGAGUUAUGCAACUAAAAGUAAAGCCAUCAAGUUGGAGUUUCUUUUCACUAUUUAUUUGUUCUGAAUACUGUAAGGUACAUACUACCUACAAUCCUCAUUUCUCAACCAAUUCAUUUAAUGACCUUGUCCCAGAAACAAAACUCGGUCUUUAAACAAAUAGUGUCUUAUAUGUAGAUCAGCAGAAUGUUUCUGUAUUUAGAUCUUUGAUCUAUUUUGACUUUAGUUUAGUACAUGGUGAGGAAUAUAUGUCCAGAUUCAACCUUCUGCAUGUGAAUAGCCAGUUUUCCCAGCACCAUUUGUAAGAGGCAGUUUUUCUUCCAGCAUGGUUUUGGUCCCUUUGUCAAAGAUCAGGUAGCUGAAUAAGAUAACAUAGGUAAAACUCUUGAAGACAUAGGCAUAAGCUAGGAGUUUCUGAACAGAACCCUAAUUGCACAAGAAAUAACAUAAAAAAUCUACAAAUAGAAUUAUGUCAAAUAGAAAAGCUUCUGUAUAGCAAAAGAAACAACCAACAGAGUAAGGAGGCAACCUACAAAAAGGGAAAAAGUUUUGCCACCUACUCCUUGGACAGAGGACUAAUAUCUAGAAUAUAAAGAACUCAAAAAUUUAGACCCCCCAAUCAAAAAUGGGCAAGUGAAAUGAAUACACACUUCACAGAAGUACAAAUGGCUAAGAAAUAUAUGAAAUUUUUUUUCACCCUCCUGGCCACUAGAGAAAUGCGAAUUAAAACAGCACAGCAGAAAGAAUGACCACCAUUGAGAAAUCAAACAAUAACAAAUACUGGUGAAGCUGCGGGGGAAAAAAGAACUCUUCUCCAUCGUUAGUCGGGAUAUAAACUAGUACAACCUUUAUGGAAGUCAGUUAUGGAAAUUCCUCAAAAAAUGAAAAGUAGAAAUUCCACUCAACCCAUCUAUUUCCAUUCUAUGCAUCUUCCUUAAAGAGUUAAGAAAUCAUGUUACUGUGACAUGUGCAUACCCAUGUUUAUAGCAACACAACUCAUAGUAGCUAAAACUCGGAAGGAGUCUAUAUUCCAUCAACAGACGAAUGGAUAAAGAAAAUGUGGCAUUCAUACACAAUGAGGCACUACUCUGCCAUAAAGAACAAUAAACUUGAGUCAUUUUUAGAAAAAUGGAUGACCCUUGAAACUGUAAUGUUAAGUGAGACAAAUUAGGCACACUAGCUUAAAUAUCUCAUGUUUUCUAUUGUAUGAGAAACAAUAAGUAAAGAGCAAAAUAAAACAUAAUAAGGAAUAGGGAGAUGAAUCUUUUGCAAAAGAGAAGAGCACCAAAAGAUAGGAGGGAGGAGAAUGAGGAGGGGAAGGAGCUGAAAAAAGAAUUCAGAUGCAUUAUCUACAUUACCACAUCCUGACAAGCAAUGUAAUCGUUUUUUUACAGAAAAUAUGUACUAACAAAAAAAAAAUGAAAAUUGAAAUUAAAAAUAUUUGUCCCUGGCAAAAACAUGGGUAAAUCAGAUGCUUUUGUAUGUAUAUUAUCUCACAUUGCCUACAGCUGCUUUACUACACUGGAAAAAACCUUGGACCUGAUAGGUGGUAUUCUCCUGGGGAACGUGUGAAUUGUCCUGGGUAAUUAAUAGUAAUUGUGACACUUUGCUGCUUUAAUUUCUUAGCACAUUCCUUACUACCUCUAAAGAGACAGGUUUGUGUAUCCACCCAAACAACAUGGAAUAGCUGAAAUGUGAAGUAUGAGAAAUGAAAAGAAAACAAAAGACCAAAUGCCAUCAGUUAGGUUAGGGUUGUUGUGAUAGUAAAUUGCAAGUCAGAGAAUUUAACCCAACAAAGGAUUGUUCUCUCCUGCACUAUGGGUCCACUGCAGGUCAACACAGGGACUCUGUUUAGUGCCAUCAUGCAAGGAUCCAGGGUGACAGAGACUUACCAUAACUGUUUCCAUGAUUACAGUAUGGUAAAAGCAUGUGGUGAAUUGGACUCUUAGAGCUUCCAUCUCUGUGUGAAAUGCAUAACUUUGUCUUAUCACAUGGCCACACAUAACUUCAAAGGGUAGAAAAAGCAAUCCCAGCACUUGCUUAAGAAUAAAACUGGGUCUUCCUUUCUUAUCACAAAAUAUCCUCCUUUCUUCAUGCAGAAUUGAUUCAAUCCAUCCCCAUGAGGAAAGAACACAAAAAUCCCUUUCUAUCCUCUUUCACUCUCAAAAUCUAGGAUCUCUGAGUGGUGUGUGGAAAUUUCUUUAUGUGUUCUGGUUGAUCCAGUUUAUAAUGCUCUGUUCUGUCUUAGUCCAGAGGACUAUAAAUGAAACAGAAAAUUUCUUUGCCCCCUCAUAUGCAAUAUUCAGUGAUGUUAUAGGGAAAAACAACCAUAACAAACAAUCCACUCUAGAGAAGAGUAGGAAUCACAUCUCAGUCAAUGGGGCAGACCUGUUUUGUCAUGGUAAUGUACCAACUCUAGCCACUGGUUCUAAUUAGUCCUAGACAAUCUAGUCUAAAAUAGACUACAUUUUACUAUAAUAUUAACCUAAAAUCAUCAGUGAGUUGAAAUAGGAGAUUUGUUUCUUUAUCAUGCUGUCUGUUCAAUUUUAGGCAGGAGGGAGGUUCUGCUUACUGUAGUUAGUCAAGGACCAGGUUUACAGAGGUUCAACAAAUGUGGACUUCCACAACUACUAUUGCAGAGUGAAGAGAAUGUGGUAAAUAUUUGGACAACAGCAAUUAUGACUCCCCAGGAGGAACCUAGACAUAUUGUAGAUCCUUUUUCAAUUUCCAUGUAUAAAGGAAAAAUAGUAUAUGACGUACAAAAAUGUGAAUCUGAAUGUUAUGAUAGGUCUCAUGUACAAUGCAAGAUAUUAGAAACAGUGGUGUGACAUCUGCAAACUGUCCAGGGAAAAAUAUUUUUAAAGUAGAGUAUCAUAGCCAGAAUGACUAUUAGUCAGGUAGGCAAAAUGAAGGCCUUCUCAGGAAUACUGAGACUCAGGAAAUUGACAACCCUUGCAACAUCAAUGAAAGGAGUGUUCUGAGACAUAGUUUGGCAAAAAAAAAAUAGAAUCUAAGGUAAAAGGAGUGCAAAAUAGUUUAAAAAUGAUAUGAUUAUAUGAUACUGUGAGGGUUAAGGUGGAAUGGGAACUGGAUUAGAUUUUGGGGACCGAUUCAGGGGAAGAGUAAAGCGUACUCGGAGGUGCGUCUGAGUGGGUCUUAAAAGCACAACCUUGGGGUCUAUAGCUGGUCCCUGGCCCUUUCCUCUCUGGCACAUUGCCCUGCUCUGCUUCUUGGCUACCAUGAAUUAGGGAGCUUUGCUCUAUCAUGCCCUUUUGCCAUGAUGUUCCUGCCUUGCAGCCUGCCCCACAUGGACUGAAUCCUCUGAAACCGUGAGCUAAUUUAGACCUCUCCUCCUUUUAGUUGUAGGUACUGGGUAUUGUGCCCCAGUGAUGGGAAAGCUAACUAAUGUGGAUACUUGCCAAAUCCCAGUAUGGAAGACUUUAUUCGGGAUCAUUAACAUAAAUGCCGGACCAUUGCAACACUGUCCUGCAGUGAAGAAGAGUCAUUGAAGUCAAUAGGGAAUACAAUAUGAGCAAGAG
ensembl:lncRNA